rnacentral:misc_RNA from 1 species
UCCGGUUUGUCACCGGCGGUCUCCUUAGAGUUCCCAACUGAAUGAUGGCAACUAAGGACAAGGGUUGCGCUCGUUGCGGGACUUAACCCAACAUCUCUGGGGCGGGCCUCCGUUGUCUAGCCCAGGUAAGGUUCUUCGCGUUGCGUCGAAUUGAACCACAUGCUCCACCGCUUGUGCGGGCCCCCGUCAAUUCCUUUGAGUUUUAACCUUGCGGCCGUAGUCCCCAGGCGGAGCACUUAAUGCGUUAGCUUCGGCACCGCAGGGGUCAAUACCCGCGACACCUAGUGCUCAUCGUUUACGGCGUGGACUAC